rnacentral:rRNA from 1 species
AUGGCCACGGCCCUCUCCCUCGGCGGUGCGGGCGCCGGCGCCGGCGGCCACCUCCUCCGCAGGCGCCCCGCCGCCUCCGCCGCGCGGUGCUGCGCCGUGCCCCGCAGCUCCCCGUCGCGCCGCCGGGUCCCGACGCGGCGCCUGGCCGCCUCGCGCGCGGACGACUCCUCGCCGGCGCCCUUCGAGAUGACGGUGGAGGGCGCGCUCAAGCUGCUCGGCGUCGCUGAGGGCGCCUCCUUCGACGAGAUCCUCCGCGCCAAGAAGGCCGUCGUCGCCUCCUGCAAGGACGACCCGGACGCCGUCGCCCAGGUCGAGGUCGCCUAUGAUAUGCUGCUAAUGCAGAGCUUAUCACGGCGGAGGGCUGGCAAGGUUGUCGAUAGCAGCGUCCGCUACGCUGAUGUGAAACCUGUCAAGACUGCAGGAACGGCGCCGCAAUGGAUGCAGUCAGCCAUGAAGAACGUGCCUCUGACAUUGGAGGCCCCGGCUUCGAGCAGCUUGGGCAUCCAGUCAUCCAUUUAUGGUGCACUGAUGGUUUUCACAUAUGCGAGUGGAACCUCCACGUCUUUGCCAUCAGCGUACACUAGCCCUGAUGUGCCUGGAUUUAUCCUAGCAACAGGAUUCGGUGCUUCAUUGUAUUUUCUGUCCAAGAAAAACAUGAACUUAGGUAAGGCGGCGCUGAUCACCGUCGGGGGCCUGGCAGUCGGUGCGACGGUCGGGUCCGGCGUGGAGAGCUGGCUGCAGGUUGACAUUGUGCCCUUCCUGGGCAUCCACUCCCCCGCGGUCGUCGUCACCGAGUUCAUUCUCUUCUCGCAAUUGCUGGUGUCGCUGUUCGUUAGGUAG